rnacentral:lncRNA from 11 species
GGAAGAGAAGGAGGAGUAAAAAGAAACUUCUUCUGCUUCAUUGUGCAGCGUGCACAUGAGGGAAGGAAGUGGCAUAUUAUGGGGCAAUAGAUGAAAAGAUGAUGAGGUGAAAGAAAGGUGUGAAAGUGUAGGUGGAGGGGGAGAGAGAGGAGAAGAUUAAGAGAGGAAGAGAGAGGCAGAAAAAGGGGGAAGGAGGAAGGCAGAAUACACAGUGAUCAUGUCAAAGGAAAACAAGUGACUGUGAUGUGCAGAACUCCAAAACAAUAGACAGAGGAGGAAGCUGGAAGAACCAGGACAUCAGAGACAAAUACAAUACUAACAACACUGUUAUUGCUGAAAUGUGGGAAGAGAAGACAACUUUCAAAAGGGGUGAGGAGAUCAAGAAAGAAAGGAGAGAGGAAGCGGAAAAGGAUCAGCUUUAUAAAAUCAGAGAUCUUUUGUUGUCAAUUGUCAACAUUUUGAAAUUACUUUCUUUUGGUUUUCAAUUAGUUCCUGAGAAAUGAAAUGAAGCCAUGGUGGAAGAAGAGGACAAAGAAAAGGAGACAGGUAGCCUCUCCAGGAAGUAACCAAUGUUGAACUUUUGAACUUUUCUCACUGUUGAACUUUUCAUUUCUCUAAAAUGUUCCUUCAAAAUAAAAUCUAUCUAUGAA